rfam:Papilio xuthus contig17504, whole genome shotgun sequence.
UCAAAGGUUUUUAUAGAAACCAUACAUAUUUCCUGGAACAUAAGU